rnacentral:ncRNA from 2 species
AGCGCAACUCCGGGGUGCCCGCGCCAGCGAGCUGAGACGGCUUGGCAACAAGUCGAACCCGUCAACUUGAUCCGGUUAACACCGGCGUAAGGAAGAGCAGCAGCGCGCGUG